rnacentral:rRNA from 1 species
CCUACGGGUGGCAGCAGUGGGGAAUAUUGCGCAAUGGGCGAAAGCCUGACGCAGCGACGCCGCGUGAGGGAUGAAGGUCUUCGGAUCGUAAACCUCUGUCAGCAGGGAAGAACGGUCACUGUGCUAAUCAGCAGUGAAUUGACGGUACCUGCUAAGGAAGCACCGGCUAACUCCGUGCCAGCAGCCGCGGUAAUACGGAGGGUGCGAGCGUUAACCGGAAUUACUGGGCGUAAAGCGCUCGUAGGCGGUAUGUCAAGUCAAGGGUGAAAUCCCCGCGCUCAACGUGGGAACUGCCUUUGAAACUGGCAAACUGGAGUGUGUGAGAGGAUAGUGGAAUUCCAGGUGAAGGAGUGAAAUGCGUAGAUAUCUGGAGGAACAUCAGUGGCGAAGGCGACUAUCUGGCACAUAACUGACGCUGAGGAGCGAAAGCGUGGGUAGCAAACAGGAUUAGAUACCCUAGUAGUC